GGAGGGGUGGCCGAGCCUGGUCCAAGGCAGGGGCUUGCUAAGCCUCGGUCGCUCCAAAAAGCGGCCCGUGGGUUCGAAUCCCACCCCCUCCGCCA
rnacentral:tRNA from 1 species